AUUUAAAUAGUUUAUUAAAAAUAUUGAUUUGUGGUGUCAAUGAUAUGAGUCAUUCAUUUUAGAUC
rnacentral:tRNA from 1 species